AUUGAACGCUGGCGGCAAGCCUAACACAUGCAAGUCGAACGAGUGGCGGACGGGUGAGUAAUGUCUGGGAAACUGCCUGAUGGAGGGGGAUAACUACUGGAAACGGUAGCUAAUACCGCAUACCAUCGGAGGUGCCCAGAUGGGCUUAGCUAGUAGGUGGGGUAAAGGCUCACCUAGGCGACGAUCCCUAGCUGUUCUGAGAGGAUGACCAGCCAACCGGGAAUGGGGAAACGGUCCAGCCUCCUAGGGGAGGCAGCGGUGGGGAAUAUUGCACAAGGGGCGCAAGCCUGAGACAGCCAUGCCGCGGGGAUGAAGAGGGCCUUCGGGUUGUAAAGUACUUUCAGCGGGGAGGCGUUACCCGAAGAAGAAGCACCGGCUAACUCCGUGCCAGCAGCCGCGGUAAUUC
rnacentral:rRNA from 1 species